GUGAGCUGUAGACAGAGUCAGAGUGAAUGAACUCACACAUGCUGAAGACAUACAGACCAGAGAAUGAAAACCAUGAAUGCUGUAAAUGCAGUGCAACUGUUCAUUCUGGUUUGGACUUUUACUGCUGUCUGUCAAGCUGAUGAUGACUUCAGUGUAAGCUGUGAGAAUGUGACUGGAACUGAGAGGAAAGAAGUAACUUUCACCUGCAGCGUCUCUCUGAAGAAGUCUGAAUGCUGCAUUAUAAUGUAUAAGUUUCAAUAUCCUAAGAAAUAUAAUGACUCUGCAAUCUGU